rnacentral:tRNA from 1 species
GUUUUAAUAAUUUAAUGUAAAAUAUUGGUCUUGUAAAUCAAAAAUAAGAAUUUCCUUUUAAAACA